rnacentral:lncRNA from 1 species
UUUAAAAGGGCCCUACAGUAAUUUUUUAGUUGAAAAGCCACCUUAAGUAUUGUUUACAUUUUUUGUUAUUGUCGCUACUUGACAUGCGCACCACAGCAUGCAUGCGCCUUCCGGUGUGCGGAAGUACUCAUACUCAUGGACUGCACGUAGUCCCCUACUUAAGGUGGCUUUUCAACUAAAAAAUGACUGUAGGGCAGAGAACGAUAUUUAAAAACAUUGUCAUUGUCUUUAUAGCCAACUGUGUUAAUCAAAGCACCUUAUUAAUACAUGUUUAUUUUUCUGUUUAUGACUGACUUGUUUAUGCCUGACUUGUUUAAUACUAACACAAAAG